GCUUGCCAACAUUCCUUAUUAAAUUAUGGUGAGUAAUCAAAUGUUUUGGCAAGAUUCAAUAAAAACAUGGGGCAUCUUGUAUUAAUGUCACAUCAUUAUUCACCAGUGAAAUUUGUCUUUUUACUUUAGCAUAUUUUCUAGAUUAAAUGGAUGUGCAUUUUAGAAAUAUUUUGAAAUUGAGCCAGGUCUGCAGUGGUAUCAUGAAAUCUUUUCAUCACCCCAAGAUAAACUGUUUCCCUGUUAACCUAAUCAUCCCUGCACAUAACAUGAUUCCUGUGAGAUAAGUAACAGUGUAGUGGUUUUGAGUGUAUUCUUGGCUGCAGGGUUCUAGAACUCUGCAGGUUAUUAUGCUUUGAAGUUGAGAAAGUAACUUCUGAAAUAUGGGGAUGAUUAUUUUGAUUUUAUUGUGAGGUUUUUUAUUGAUCAUUCAAGAUAGCCCAAUGUGAAUUAUUCAACAGACCCAGC
rnacentral:lncRNA from 1 species